rnacentral:rRNA from 1 species
AGAGUUUGAUCCUGGCUCAGGAUGAACGCUGGCGGCGUGCCUAACACAUGCAAGUCGAACGAAGCACCUUACCUGAUUCUUCGGAUGAAGGUCUGGUGACUGAGUGGCGGACGGGUGAGUAACGCGUGGGUAACCUGCCCUGUACAGGGGGAUAACAGUUGGAAACGGCUGCUAAUACCGCAUAAGCGCACGAGAGGACAUCCUCUUGUGUGAAAAACUCCGGUGGUACAGGAUGGACCCGCGUCUGAUUAGCUGGUUGGCAGGGUAACGGCCUACCAAGGCGACGAUCAGUAGCCGGUCUGAGAGGAUGAACGGCCACAUUGGAACUGAGACACGGUCCAAACUCCUACGGGAGGCAGCAGUGGGGAAUAUUGCACAAUGGGGGAAACCCUGAUGCAGCAACGCCGCGUGAGUGAAGAAGUAUUUCGGUAUGUAAAGCUCUAUCAGCAGGGAAGAUAAUGACGGUACCUGACUAAGAAGCUCCGGCUAAAUACGUGCCAGCAGCCGCGGU